AGCGACUAAGCGUACACGGUGGAUGCCCUGGCAGUCAGAGGCGAUGAAGGACGUGCUAAUCUGCGAUAAGCGUCGGUAAGGUGAUAUGAACUGUUAUAACCGGCGAUUUCCGAAUGGGGAAACCCAGUGUGAUUCGUCACACUAUCAUUAACUGAAUCCAUAGGUUAAUGAGGCGAACCGGGGGAACUGAAACAUCUAAGUACCCCGAGGAAAAGAAAUCAACCGAGAUUCCCCCAGUAGCGGCGAGCGAACGGGGAGCAGCCCAGAGCCUGAAUCAGUGUGUGUGUUAGUGGAAGCGUCUGGAAAGGCGCGCGAUACAGGGUGACAGCCCCGUACACAAAAAUGCACAUGCUGUGAGCUCGAUGAGUAGGGCGGGACACGUGGUAUCCUGUCUGAAUAUGGGGGGACCAUCCUCCAAGGCUAAAUACUCCUGACUGACCGAUAGUGAACCAGUACCGUGAGGGAAAGGCGAAAAGAACCCCGGCGAGGGGAGUGAAAAAGAACCUGAAACCGUGUACGUACAAGCAGUGGGAGCACGCUUAGGCGUGUGACUGCGUACCUUUUGUAUAAUGGGUCAGCGACUUAUAUUCUGUAGCAAGGUUAACCGAAUAGGGGAGCCGAAGGGAAACCGAGUCUUAACUGGGCGUUAAGUUGCAGGGUAUAGACCCGAAACCCGGUGAUCUAGCCAUGGGCAGGUUGAAGGUUGGGUAACACUAACUGGAGGACCGAACCGACUAAUGUUGAAAAAUUAGCGGAUGACUUGUGGCUGGGGGUGAAAGGCCAAUCAAACCGGGAGAUAGCUGGUUCUCCCCGAAAGCUAUUUAGGUAGCGCCUCGUGAAUUCAUCUCCGGGGGUAGAGCACUGUUUCGGCAAGGGGGUCAUCCCGACUUACCAACCCGAUGCAAACUGCGAAUACCGGAGAAUGUUAUCACGGGAGACACACGGCGGGUGCUAACGUCCGUCGUGAAGAGGGAAACAACCCAGACCGCCAGCUAAGGUCCCAAAGUCAUGGUUAAGUGGGAAACGAUGUGGGAAGGCCCAGACAGCCAGGAUGUUGGCUUAGAAGCAGCCAUCAUUUAAAGAAAGCGUAAUAGCUCACUGGUCGAGUCGGCCUGCGCGGAAGAUGUAACGGGGCUAAACCAUGCACCGAAGCUGCGGCAGCGACGCUUAUGCGUUGUUGGGUAGGGGAGCGUUCUGUAAGCCUGUGAAGGUGUGCUGUGAGGCAUGCUGGAGGUAUCAGAAGUGCGAAUGCUGACAUAAGUAACGAUAAAGCGGGUGAAAAGCCCGCUCGCCGGAAGACCAAGGGUUCCUGUCCAACGUUAAUCGGGGCAGGGUGAGUCGACCCCUAAGGCGAGGCCGAAAGGCGUAGUCGAUGGGAAACAGGUUAAUAUUCCUGUACUUGGUGUUACUGCGAAGGGGGGACGGAGAAGGCUAUGUUGGCCGGGCGACGGUUGUCCCGGUUUAAGCGUGUAGGCUGGUUUUCCAGGCAAAUCCGGAAAAUCAAGGCUGAGGCGUGAUGACGAGGCACUACGGUGCUGAAGCAACAAAUGCCCUGCUUCCAGGAAAAGCCUCUAAGCAUCAGGUAACAUCAAAUCGUACCCCAAACCGACACAGGUGGUCAGGUAGAGAAUACCAAGGCGCUUGAGAGAACUCGGGUGAAGGAACUAGGCAAAAUGGUGCCGUAACUUCGGGAGAAGGCA
rnacentral:rRNA from 1 species